rnacentral:rRNA from 1 species
UCCGGGGCGCACGCAGAAGAAGCACCGGCUAAUUCCGUGCCAGCAGCCGCGGUAAUACGGAGGGUGCAAGGUUAAUCGGAAUUACUGGGCGUAAAGCGCACGCAGGCGGUCUGUCAAGUUGGAUGUGAAAUCCCCGGGCUCAACCUGGGAACUGCAUUCGAAACUGGCAGGCUAGAGUCUUGUAGAGGGGGGUAGAAUUCCAGGUGUAGCGGUGAAAUGCGUAGAGAUCUGGAGGAAUACCGGUGGCGAAGGCGGCCCCCUGGACAAAGACUGACGCUCAGGUGCGAAAGCGUGGGGAGCAAACAGGAUUAGAUACCCUGGUAGUCCACGCCGUAAACGAUGUCGACUUGGAGGUUGUGCCCUUGAGGCGUGGCUUCCGGAGCUAACGCGUUAAGUCGACCGCCUGGGGAGUACGGCCGCAAGGUUAAAACUCAAAUGAAUUGACGGGGGCCCGCACAAGCGGUGGAGCAUGUGGUUUAAUUCGAUGCAACGCGAAGAACCUUACCUACUCUUGACAUCCAGAGAACUUAGCAGAGAUGCUUUGGUGCCUUCGGGAACUCUGAGACAGGUGCUGCAUGGCUGUCGUCAGCUCGUGUUGUGAAAUGUUGGGUUAAGUCCCGCAACGAGCGCAACCCUUAUCCUUUGUUGCCAGCGGUUAGGCCGGGAACUCAAAGGAGACUGCCAGUGAUAAACUGGAGGAAGGUGGGGAUGACGUCAAGUCAUCAUGGCCCUUACGAGUAGGGCUACACACGUGCUACAAUGGCGCAUACAAAGAGAAGCGACCUCGCGAGAGCAAGCGGACCUCAUAAAGUGCGUCGUAGUCCGGAUUGGAGUCUGCAACUCGACUCCAUGAAGUCGGAAUCGCUAGUAAUCGUAGAUCAGAAUGCUACGGUGAAUACGUUCCCGGGCCUUGUACACACCGCCCGUCACACCAUGGGAGUGGGUUGCAUUAAAGAAGUAGGUAGCUUAACCU